GACGAACGCUGGCGGCGUGCUUAACACAUGCAAGUCGAACGGAAAGGCCCCUUUGGGGGUACUCGAGUGGCGAACGGGUGCGUAACACGUGAGUAACCUGCCCUUGACUUCGGGAUAACUUCAGGAAACUGGGGCUAAUACCGGAUAGGAAUCCUUGCUGCAUGGUGGGGGUUGGAAAGCUUCGGCGGUUUUGGAUGGACUCGCGGCUUAUCAGCUUGUUGGUGGGGUAGUGGCUUACCAAGGCUUUGACGGGUAGCCGGCCUGAGAGGGCGACCGGCCACACUGGGACUGAGAUACGGCCCCGACUCCUACGGGAGGCAGAAGGGGGGAAUAUUGCACAAUGGGCGGAAGGCUGAUGCAGAAACGCCGCGGGCGGGAUGACGGUCUUCGGGUUGUAAAACGCUUUCAGCAGGAGCGAAGCUUGUGGUGACGGUACCUGCAGAAGAAGCACCGGCUAACUACGUG
rnacentral:rRNA from 1 species